UCUCGGCUUAUCACCGGCAGUCCCCUUAGAGUGCCCAACUGAAUGAUGGCAACUAAGGGCGAGGGUUGCGCUCGUUGCGGGACUUAACCCAACACCUCACGGCACGAGCUGACGACAGCCAUGCAGCACCUGUGCUAGCCCCUUACGGACACCGGCUUUCACCGGCUUUAACUAACAUGUCAAGCCCAGGUAAGGUUCUUCGCGUUGCGUCGAAUUAAACCACAUGCUCCGCUGCUUGUGCGGGUCCCCGUCAAUUCCUUUGAGUUUUAGCCUUGCGGCCGUACUCCCCAGGCGGGGCACUUAAUGCGUUAGCGCCGGCACGGGAGGAGUCGACACCUCCCACACCUAGUGCCCAUCGUCUACGGCGUGGACUAC
rnacentral:misc_RNA from 1 species